GUACCGUGAGGGAAAGGCGAAAAGAACCCCGGCGAGGGGAGUGAAAAAGAACCUGAAACCGUGUACGUACAAGCAGUAGGAGCCCCACCACCAAAGCGUUUCGCUUUGCGUGGUGCGCAAAAUGCGUAACGACAGCAUGAUGGACGGUUAACGGAGCGUCAGCGACGUUCAACGUCAAAAAUCAGGCAGUGGAGCGUUUUGGGGUGGGGUGACUGCGUACCUUUUGUAUAAUGGGUCAGCGACUUAUAUUCUGUAGCAAGGUUAACCGAAUAGGGGAGCCGCAGGGAAACCGAGUCUUAACUGGGCGUUAAGUUGCAGGGUAUAGACCCGAAACCCGGUGAUCUAGCCAUGGGC
rnacentral:rRNA from 1 species